rnacentral:misc_RNA from 1 species
AGAUGGUCCUAUGAGAUCAAGAAGGAUAUCAAGCAAAGCAGGAUUAGAGUAACCUCCAAGGUUGUAGAAUUAAUCAAUAAUUCAAAGGAUGAUGCCCGUCCCAAAGUUUUAAUAAGUGCAACAGCAGUUGGUUAUUAUGGAACCAGCGAGACGGAAGUGUUUGAUGAGAAAAGUCCAUCGGGAAAUGAUUACUUGGCUGAGGUUUGUAGAGAAUGGGAGGCAUCUGCUCUCAAAGUCAAUAAGGAUGUUAGGCUUGCUCUAAUUCGUAUUGGCGUUGUCCUCGGAAAAGACG